rnacentral:rRNA from 1 species
GCUGGCGGCAUGCCUAACACAUGCAAGUCGAAUGUGAUUCACAGGCCUUCGGGUUUGGUGAAAGUGGCAGACGGGUGAGUAACGCGUGGGAACCUGCCCAAUGGUAGGGAAUAACCGCGGGAAACUGCGGCUAAUACCCUAUGACCCCUGCGGGGGAAAGAUUUAUCGCCAUUGGAGGGGCCCGCGUCGGAUUAGGUAGUUGGUAGGGUAACGGCCUACCAAGCCUUCGAUCCGUAGCUGGUCUGAGAGGAUGAUCAGCCACACUGGGACUGAGAUACGGCCCAGACUCCUACGGGAGGCAGCAGUGGGGAAUAUUGGACAAUGGGGGCAACCCUGAUCCAGCAAUGCCGCGUGAGUGAUGAAGGCCUUCGGGUUGUAAAGCUCUUUCGGCGGGGAAGAUGAUGACGGUACCCGCA